rnacentral:rRNA from 1 species
CUACGGGCUGCUGCAGUGAGGAAUAUUGCACAAUGGGGGGAACCCUGAUGCAGCAACGCCGCGUGGAGGAUGACGCAUUUCGGUGUGUAAACUCCUUUUAUAUGUCAAGAAAAUGACGGUAGCAUAUGAAUAAGCACCGGCUAACUCCGUGCCAGCAGCCGCAGGUAAUACGGAGGGUGCAAGCGUUACUCGGAAUCACUGGGCGUAAAGGACGCGUAGGCGGGUUGGAAAGUCAGGUGUGAAAUCCUACAGCUGAACUGUAGAACUGCACUUGAAACUUCUAAUCUAGAGUAUGGGAGGGGGAGAUGGAAUUAGUGGUGUAGGGGUAAAAUCCGUAGAUAUCACUAGGAAUACCUAAAGCGAAGGCGAUCUCCUGGAACAUUACUGACGCUAAGGCGUGAAAGCGUGGGGAGCAAACAGGAUUAGAUACCCGCGUAGUC